AUGUAUUAAAGCUGUACUGCAGAAGGAUCCAAGUGGCCUGCGUGCGUUUUGCUGGCGAGACGGUAGCGUGGGUCAAAAAGUUAUCUUGGUCAGAUUGGCUUAUGAACGUGUGUGUAGGCAUUUUUAAAAUUGAUAUUUUUCCAAUAUCUUGAAGGAACUCAAAUGAUCAUACUAGAUGGAAAACUCAGCAAUUAAGUGGAAAAUGCUACCAGUACAAGCCAUGUUGUGGAUUAUUCCAGUAAUUAUCCUGAAUGAAAGAACAUGGGCAACAGCAGGAGUGGAGAAUGUCCAGAUCCACUGGUAAACAGAUCUGUGAAACAUCUUAAGAGAUUCUGAACUGACUUAUAAGGAAAAAUCAAAACAUGGAAAGUAACAAAUUGAAUAAAAACAACUAGAUACAAAUGGAGACAGUGUAUAAAGCACCAUGCUUCCGCCAAAAGUAUCCGAUAGACUUAUAGAUGCCUUUGGUGACUCACUGAAGGAAUAGAUAUUCUUUUGGCUGGUGAAUGUUAAAAGUCACAGAAGAAGAUGCCAUGCAGAAGGGAUGGUAUACUACAAUAAUAACCCUAGGCACAAUAGGCAUAAAGAAAAACCCAAAACGAGAAAAUGUUUUCAAAGUCUGAAAUGAAAAAUCUGCCAAGCAUGUACCUGUCCCAUGGAGAAUGAGCACCUAGGGAGUGGAUAGGCUGCCAUAUUGAAUGGGACAAGCAAUUUCUGGAGUCCUGAAGCUUACUUUUUGCUACAGGAUGCCCUCUUGGAAAGAAGAAAAUUCACAAGAAUUGGCAAAGCUGUUUCAGAAAAAGACAUUCUUCAUAAUCUUCCAGCUUAAAGGAAAGCUAAGAGUGUAUAGUCACUGCAGCAAGAUUUUCCAAGCUUUUUUUUUAACACUUAAAAUAUUUCUUUGUUCUGUACCCUUCCAUUACUUCAGUGUUUAUCUUUACUGGGGAGCAAAGCCAGCACUUUGUUUGAACUAAAUAAUAUAGUCAGAGGGUGUUUUGCUCUGUUUUGUACAUGUAUGUGGCAGAAGGAUAAUGUGUGUGUGUGUGUGUGUAUGUCUGUGUGUGUCUGUGUGUGUGUGUGUGUGUGUGUGACAUUUUAUGCAAAAAUACAAGACUGGAAAAGUUGGAUUACACCUUCAAAUCACCUGCAAAGAUAGAAUAAUAGCAGAUGACUAUCUUUUAGAUAAAGUAGAACACCUUAUUGUUGUCUCUUGACAUGAUGAACAACUUGGCAAGGAAUUCUUUUCCUUUUGUGU
rnacentral:lncRNA from 1 species